rnacentral:rRNA from 1 species
GACGAACGCUGGCGGCGUGCCUAACACAUGCAAGUCGAGCGAUGAAGUUUUCUUCGGGAAACGGAUUAGCGGCGGACGGGUGAGUAACACGUGGGUAACCUGCCCUAUAGUGGGGGAUAGCCUUCCGAAAGGAAGAUUAAUACCCCAUAAUAUCCUAGUAUCGCAUGAUGCAUGGAUUAAAGGAGCAAUCCGCUAUAGGAUGGACCCGCGGCGCAUUAGCUAGUUGGUGAGGUAACGGCUCACCAAGGCGACGAUGCGUAGCCGACCUGAGAGGGUGAUCGGCCACAUUGGGACUGAGACACGGCCCAGACUCCUACGGGAGGCAGCAGUGGGGAAUAUUGCACAAUGGGGGAAACCCUGAUGCAGCAACGCCGCGUGAGUGAUGACGGUCUUCGGAUUGUAAAGCUCUGUCUUUAGGGACGAUAAUGACGGUACCUAAGGAGGAAGCCACGGCUAACUACGUGCCAGCCGCCGCCGUAACAC